rnacentral:rRNA from 1 species
GACGUAGGGCGCGAGCGUUGUCCGGAUUUAUUGGGCGUAAAGAGCUCGUAGGCGGCUUGUCGCGUCGACCGUGAAAACUUGGGGCUCAACCCCAAGCCUGCGGUCGAUACGGGCAGGCUAGAGUUCGGUAGGGGAGACUGGAAUUCCUGGUGUAGCGGUGAAAUGCGCAGAUAUCAGGAGGAACACCGAUGGCGAAGGCAGGUCUCUGGGCUGUAACUGACGCUGAGGAGCGAAAGCGUGGGGAGCGAACAGG